rnacentral:lncRNA from 1 species
CUCCUUUUUAUUAUAUUAUUUACAAUAGGGGAUCUCGAAUUACCCCGUUUUAACUGGAUUACCUCUUUCAAGAUCUUAUUUCCAAAUAAGACCUAUUUUGAGAACAACACACCCUUUCCCUCUGCUCUGCAGAAAAAGACAAUUCAAUCCAUAAUUCUGAGAUAACAAAUAAACCGAGCCCAGAACACAGCAAGAAGCACAGUUAGAAAAACAACGGCAACGACGACAGACUGAGGAGGUACAUCAAGGGAGCCAGUCCUGGAGUUGGAGGCAGGGUUGGGGAUGCUGUGGCAGCAAACAAAAGAUGUCACCAUGCUGUGACAGAAGAGUCCUUUGACUACAGGUGUCACCUCAUCCAUUCAAUUACAGCCACACCUGACCCCUGGAGACACUCAUGGCCUCCAAGGUGGUUGACAGGAAAUACAUAGUUGAUUAUGUCUCUUCCUGUUAUUUUGCCGGGAAGCAGGAGUUUCUGAGGCCACAUGCAGUCAGCUGGAUUGCAUAAAGCCGGGCACACCACAGGCGGGUCUGGCUUGACCUACUUCCUGAAAUCUGCUGUUGGUACUUCUUCCAUUGGACCUUUGUAGCCUCACAUACAGGCCAUCCUGACGGGAGGCCCCGACUCAGGGUUAAAGGGACGAGCAGAGGGGUGAUGCCAGGGAGGGCUGCCCCAGAACAGGUUCCUAACCUGGUCAAGCCCUUCCUGCUGGCAUGGAGAGAUUGGGUCUACAGGCGUGCACAUGCUCGACGGGCGUGCAGCUCUGGGUUCAAUCUCCAGAACCGUAAAACGAAAUGAAAGAUCCAUAGUGCAGUAUCCCAAACAAAAUGCGUACACUGGUAGUCAACACUCAGAAUAGCGCCCCCACCAGAACCCUCACACUGCACUUUCACAGCCACACCCAUCUCCGUCCUGCUCCCAUCGCUGCCUUACCUCUUGUAACCACUACUUUGGUUGACGGUUUUAGGAGAGAUGUGUUACUGUUUGGCGUGGUGUGGGUGCGCAGGCACGUGCACGUGAUACACCUGAGUGCCCGGAGAGGACCACGUGUUUCUCCGGAGCAGGUGGUUAGAUUUACCACCCCGCCCCCGCCCCCAUCUGAUUGCCUUGAGACAUAGUCUCUUGCUGAACCAGAAGCUCACUGACUGGCCAGCAAGCUCUCCAGACCUGCCACUCUGGCCCCGGUGCUGAGGUUAAGGCUCCUGUAGGCGCGCCUGGCUUUUUACAUGGAAGCAGGGUAUUUAAACUCGAGUCUUUGUGGUUGCAGAGGGGACAUUCUUACCCACUGACCCAUCUUCCCAACCCCAUGAAUCUGCUUUUUGUUCGUUUUAUUUCAAGAAUGUCGUGUGUGUGUGUGUGUGUGUGUGUGUGUGUGUGUGUGUAUUACACAGAACAAGAUGCUGUUAAGUGGAAUAAUAUAGGAAGUACCCUUCUCGUGUUUUGUCCCUUAGAGGAACAGUUUGUUUAGCCCUUUACCUGUGGAAGGGUACCUGGGUUCUCAGCCUGGAAAGCCGUUAUUUCUCCAGCAUCCAACCCUGUCUGUUAUAUGUGGUUAUUACCGCUAGCUAUGAUUUAUAUAAAAACACUUGAGCAGGUCGUGGUGGUGUGUACACACUGGAUUGCCCAACUCGAUUAACUUCUUUGUUCUUAGUUUACUAGAAUCCUUUUACUCUUAAGUUUCAAAAGCAUCAUCAAGAAUACUCCUCACUAGGAGAAUCUGGGGCCGAUGAGAUGGCUCACUGGAUUUAAGGCACUUGCUGCAAAGUGAGGAGACCAGAGUUCAGUCCUCGAGACCCACCUGGUAGAAGAGAACUGAUUCCCAAUGAUUCAGUGGGCCGUGGUGCUUACCACUAAGCCUGAUUCCCUGACCCCAUCCCUGGGACCCACGUGAUGGAAGGAGAGAACCAAC